rnacentral:rRNA from 1 species
CCUACGUGGUGCAGCAGUGGGGAAUAUUGGGCAAUGGGCGCAAGCCUGACCCAGCAACGCCGCGUGAAGGAAGAAGGCUUUCGGGUUGUAAACUUCUUUUCUCAGGGACGAAGCCCGUGACGGUACCUGAGGACUAAGCCACGGCUAACUACGUGCCAGCAGCCGCGGUAAUACGUAGGUGGCAAGCGUUAUCCGGCUUUACUGGGUGUAAAGGGCGUGUAGGCGGGACUGCAAGUCAGAUGUGAAAACCACGGGCUCAACCUGUGGCCUGCAUUUGAAACUGUAGUUCUUGAGUACUGGAGAGGCAGACGGAAUUCCUAGUGUAGCGGUGAAAUGCGUAGAUAUUAGGAGGAACACCAGUGGCGAAGGCGGUCUGCUGGACAGCAACUGACGCUGAGGCGCGAAAGCGUGGGGAGCAAACAGGAUUAGAUACCCCAGUAGUC